rnacentral:rRNA from 1 species
UGCGUAGGUGGUUUGUUAAGUUGGAUGUGAAAGCCCCGGGCUCAACCUGGGAACUGCAUCCAAAACUGGCAAGCUAGAGUACGGUAGAGGGUGGUGGAAUUUCCUGUGUAGCGGUGAAAUGCGUAGAUAUAGGAAGGAACACCAGUGGCGAAGGCGACCACCUGGACUGAUACUGACACUGAGGUGCGAAAGCGUGGGUAGCAAACA